rnacentral:rRNA from 1 species
UACGAAGGGGGCUAGCGUUGUUCGGAAUCACUGGGCGUAAAGGGCGCGUAGGCGGCUUUAUAAGUCGGGGGUGAAAGCCUGUGGCUCAACCACAGAAUUGCCUUCGAUACUGUUAGGCUUGAGACCGGAAGAGGUAAGUGGAACUGCGAGUGUAGAGGUGAAAUUCGUAGAUAUUCGCAAGAACACCCGUGGCGAAGGCGGCUCUCUGGGACGGUACUGACGCUGAGACGCGAAAAGCGUGGGGAGCCGAACGAGG